GAUGAACGCUAGCUAUAGGCUUAACACAUGAAAGUCGAGGGGCAGCGAAUAGAUAGCUUGCUAUUUAUGUCGGCGACCGGCGCACGGGUGAGUAACGCGUAUCCAACCUGCCCAUAACUAAGGGAUAACCCAGCGAAAGUUGGACUAAUACCUUAUGUAUUCGUUUGAUCUCAUGAGAUUACGAAUAAAGAUUUAUCGGUUAUGGAUGGGGAUGCGUCUGAUUAGCUUGUUGGCGGGGUAACGGCCCACCAAGGCAACGAUCAGUAGGGGUUCUGAGAGGAAGGUCCCCCACAUUGGAACUGAGACACGGUCCAAACUCCUACGGGAGGCAGCAGUGAGGAAUAUUGGUCAAUGGACGCAAGUCUGAACCAGCCAAGUAGCGUGCAGGAUGACGGCCCUAUGGGUUGUAAACUGCUUUUAUAUGGGGAUAAAGUG
rnacentral:rRNA from 1 species